AGGACGAACGCUGGCGGCGUGCUUAACACAUGCAAGUCGAGCGGAAAGGCCCUUCGGGGUACUCGAGCGGCGAACGGGUGAGUAACACGUGAGCAACCUGCCCUUAGCUUCGGGAUAGCUCCGGGAAACCGGAAUUAAAUACCGAAUAUGAUUUUUGCUGACAUCAGCAGAAGUGGAAAGUUUUUCGGCUAGGGAUGGACUCGCGGCCUAUCAGCUAGUUGGUGAGGUAACGGCCCACCAAGGCGACGACGGGUA
rnacentral:rRNA from 1 species